GAUGAACGCUGGCGGCGUGCCUAAUACAUGCAAGUCGAGCGAACGGACGAGAAGCUUGCUUCUCUGAUGUUAGCGGCGGACGGGUGAGUAACACGUGGAUAACCUACCUAUAAGACUGGGAUAACUUCGGGAAACCGGAGCUAAUACCGGAUAAUAUUUUGAACCGCAUGGUUCAAUAGUGAAAGACGGUUUUGCUGUCACUUAUAGAUGGAUCCGCGCUGCAUUAGCUAGUUGGUAAGGUAACGGCUUACCAAGGCAACGAUGCAUAGCCGACCUGAGAGGGUGAUCGGCCACACGGGAACUGAGACACGGUCCAGACUCCUACGGGAGGCAGCAGUAGGGAAUCUUCCGCAAAUGGCGAAAGCCUGACGGAGCAACGCCGCGUGAGUGAUGAAGGUCUUCGGAUCGUAAAACUCUGUUAUUAGGGAAGAACAUAUGUGUAAGUAACUGUGCACGUCUUGACGGUACCUAAUCAGAAAGCCACGGCUAACUACGUG
rnacentral:rRNA from 1 species